CCAGGAUGAAACCUAAUCUGAGU
rnacentral:piRNA from 1 species